UGGAGUCGAAACAUUUACUGUUGGUGCUGCGGCAUGCAUAUGAAGAAGGGUUUCUCUUAGCCUCCGCGCAGGUCUGUCUGCCGGCUACCCAGUCCAGCACGAGUGGGACGCCGUCCUUGUACUUGUCAUAAAAGUUGUAGUUGCGGAGGUAGGACUCGUCGAAGGCGAACCCGUCCUGGUCGGCAACGAAGGUAAAAGUGCAGGGGAUGUAGUCCCUGUAGGAUGAAGAAACAUUAAUGAAAUAGGCCAUCCCGGUCGUAAAAUUUUCCAGCUUCUCCGGGAUGGUGGUCUGGCAGCAGCCGGUGCCAGAGCACGAUCCGCUUGUGAUGUUUGCCCCUCCGAAGCAGAAGGAGGCGCACCCGGUUCCUAAUGAAUAGUUGUCCCCGCCUAUGACGAUGCCAAUGACGUUGCAGCCCAUGGUCGUGAACCUGUUCUUGGUGCUGGAUACCCAAAAUGGUUUGUCGCCAAGGUCUAGAGUAGGUCUUCGACCAGCCACCCAGUCGUUGGUACUGUUGAAACAAUCCCAGCUAACGUAAUUCAGGAUGCGUGCUUGGCCCUGCGGCAAGAUUAUCUCCUCAACUGUAAUGUUCCUCUCGCGGCCGACCAAGAAAGCUCUGGGAGUCGCAGAGCCGUUACCGACUUCGCAAGUGACCUCGAAGCCUUCCCUGAAACACCCAUCGCCGAUGCCGAAGGGGUACGGGAUGCUAAUACCGCCGCAUGUCUCAUUGCAACGGGGUGACACCACGUUCGGCGACGGUGGCGCCGAUGCUGCUGCAGUCGUUGCUGCUUGCAGCAGCGUCAACAACAACAACAGCUGAAACGCGAACAGUGGCAGCGUGGAUCCCAUUGCUUAUGCUUGCUUGAAAUUGAUGGUACCCUUCAGGCUUCCAUCAGAUUUAUAAGCCAACAGAUGGCGUAGCGUGCUUAAUUCCUUCUAAAAUCGAGUGGCAUAUAAUAAUUGCUUGAUCCAAUACUCGUUCUGCAGCCCAAGUGAAGACUUAUCAAGACGAAGCCAUGACACGGCAAAUACAAGAAGACCCUGUCGCUUGGAAAACUGGACAGUGACUUGUACAGAUCCCGUCUAAGUCUUCUUUUAAGAUUACAGAAAGUUGGAGCUGUGAUCGGUACAGGAGGCCUCCUCGCAGUUUGACUCUGGAAUCCACACCCAACCGAAGACUUGCUUGCUUAAUCCAAAUACAAAUAAGUAACGCCAAUUUUUCAGUAACAGCCCCCCUUCCUCUCUCUCUCUCUCUCUCUCUCUCUCUCUCUCUGUACACGAGGCGCUUCCGGCGUCAUUUGGCCGCUGAUUCCCUACGUGACUUGGGAUCAACGGUUGAAUAGUGAAGUACAAGGAGAGCAGCGACUGCGUGUUUGGAACUAAAUCUAGCAGCUUAUGGAGGGCUCGGUCUUUCUCCUGGUUUGGAUUUGUGUUCUUUCUUUAUGCCGAAAGGAAUCAGUUUGGAUAUGCAUGGGAUGUAAGCUUCUUGUUAUUUUUGUCUUGAUGUCAGCUUCAAGAUAAGAGCUGUAGAGGAGAAGAAUAGAGAAACUUCAAAUUAAUUUUUUUUUUAUUGAACAUCAUUGCUUAUAAUUUAACGUACCGUUGAAUAUUUAGAUUUUACUUAUUUAUUUUAUUUGGCUCUACCUCAUUUCCCCUUCCUUUUUCUUAUUAUUUGUAGAGUAUAAUAUUACAUUAGCAAUCUAUUUCCACUACAUUUGACUUCAACUACCACAAAAAACCUAUCUUAGAUGAGACUCUUAAAUCAAUAUCUUAUCUAACCAUAAAGUUUAAGAAAAUAUUCCAAUACUCCUUUCAAACUAGAGUUUUACAUAGAAAAAGAAAUAUAUGUAUUACAAUCCAUCAUACCAAUAGUCAAUGAUAAGAAGAAGGUACUUUAAGUGCCCUUAGAUUUUGUUUUAAUUAUGGCAACCUAAAACAUCAAUAGAGUGGGCCACAUGAUCGGUAUGAUGUCACGAUAGUAAUGUUCAAUGGUUCAGACGAUUCAUCACACUCAGACAACCUUAAUUAUUCUAUAAAUAAACUCCGGCUUAUUUAUGAUGGACAGACACUAUAGAAUCAUAUAUAAAAAAGCUCUUGAAACCCUAUGAAUUCUACAUUACUGUUCCCCAGCAUUACUAACUUAAAGCAUAUGCACGCCCUCCAUUUACAGACGAGGUCAGACUUGUCGAAGGAGAACCCUAAUGAAGUCAUAGGUGCGGGGGGUGUAGUCAUCGUAGGAAGAUAGAUCGACGAAAUAGGCCGACCAGGUCGUCAAAUAAUAGUCCGGUUUCGCCAGGAUGGUUGUCUUUUAGCAGCCGGUGCCAUGGCAGUGAAGAAUAUUUAUUGAAGAAAUGAAAAAUGCUUCAAUACAAGAAGAAGGAUUUCCCUCAACAGAAUAGAGGAUUUUUCUCAACAGAAUAGAGAGAUUUAUCUUAAAUAAUGGUUUACGAGCGAUGUAAAUAAUAGUUUACGAGCAAGAGGCUUUGUGAGGAUUAGUCACGGAGCCUCUUAGGAAUUUGGCUGCAGUGACGUUGGUCGCUGGCCGAAGGCAAGAGCGAAGCUUGCUUUUCUCAACAACGUCGAUUGCCUGGCCGAAGACAAGAGCAAAGCUUCGCUUUUUUCACUGCUCUAAUACCAUGAAAAAAAUAAUAGAAGAUAAGAACAAUUAUUGAAGAAGUGAAGAAUAUUUAUUGAAGAAAUAAAAAAUGCUUCAAUACAUUAAUAUUUCCCUCUCCUAUUUAUAGAGAUUGAGGAAGGAUAACGGUUUAAAUGAUCACGCGAUGUCAUUCAGGAUAUGUCCUUAUCUGUAAUGUUCCUCUUGCCGCCGCCCAAGAAAGCUCUGGGAGUUGCAGAGCCGUUAACCACAUCGCAAGUGACCUCGAAGCCUUCCCUGAAACACCCAUCGCCGAUGCCGAAGGGGUACGGGAUGCUAAUAACGCAGCAUGUCUCUUUGCAAUGUGGUAACAACUCGUUGGAAGCUGAAGCUGUGAUUGGUGUAGACCUUUCCGAAGACCCUAUGAAGUCUACAUCAUGACUCUUCCCCAGCAUUGCUAACUUAAAGCAUAUGCACGCCCUGCAUUUUUAUAUGAUCCCUGCCGAACCCUCACGCUCUCUUAUACCAAACUUAUGAUAGACUCAAAUGCAAACAAGGUUGACUUCCACAGACUGACAAUCGAACAAACAGGGAUUGUUAUUUGUUCCACAUCAAGUAGUGCUAUUUGUUCUAUUCCAACAACAACAGGUAGUGCAUUGAUCUCAUUUAUUAGAACCAAAAUGUUGGAUAACAUGUAUGUAUAAAUGUGGUUUACUUCCAUGCUAUUGAAUUUUGGAGUAAGAGAUGCCAAAUCUAUAUAUAUAUAUAUAAAUACUUGCCAAAGAUUGUUCCUAUUGAUGUUAACAUAUGUUUUUAAAUUCAUUAAUUAACUAUAAUUUUCUAUUAAAACCACAAAUUUUUCUUAUUUUCAAAUAUUUUAUUUUAUUGAUAAAUCCUAUGCAUACCUUUUAAAAAUUUUAUUAUAUGAAAAAUAUAAGUACUAAUAUGGAAUUAAUGCCCUGGCCGAUAACUCAACAACACGUAGGUGAUAAAUGAUAGACCCAUCGAUAGUUCGAGACUAUAUAUAUAAUGUGUGGCCGACAUCUUGACACCACAAAGGUGGCAAGCGUCAACACCAUGUUGACGACAAGUGGUUGACAUGCCGACAACCUAAGGUCACGUAGACAACACACGAUGGACACCUCGACAUUUGGACUAAGUUUGAAUAAUCAAUGUGUGUCUUGCAUUUGGCGCAUCAUGACACCAAGACCCUAAUUAUAUUUGAUGAUCUUGAAAGUAAUGAUCCUUAGAGUCCAUCGUAAAAGGGACUCCAUAAAAGGAACUCUCUUCAAGUGCUCAUCCAAACUAUCCGAGUCCAAAAUUGACUUGAGUAUCAGAGGAGCAUUCGUCAAGAAUAAUCUCGAUGUAAUUUUAUAAGUUUGACACCUAUAGAGUCAGUAAUAACUAGAAUUUAUGAUGAGACUAACAUGGGAAGGAGCAUCGGCUUUGAAUCCAUUUUAGAUCAAACAAUUAAAAAUUACACUAAUAGUUUGACGCUAGAAGGAAGGUUUGAGAUGUUUAAGAAAAACUUUACUACAUCAUCUCAACUAAAUCUUGAAGAUCCAAACCCGACUGAACUGAUCGAUAGUCAAACCUACUGCACCCGCCUUUCAAAUGCUCGAACCAUUGGUCUUCCAUCAAUUGUUCUACGAUUCGGUGGCUAUAUAUAUAUAAUUUUUUUUAUAAAAAUUAAAAACAAAAUUUAUUAUAUGAAAUGACGUAUAUAUUGCUCACACAUGGAUUCAAGUUUGAAAUCUAUUACAUGUACAAUAAUGUACUAAUCAACUCAGAUAUUUCAACAAAAAAUAAAAGAAUUAAUUAUAUUGCUUACUGUAAUAAGUAUGUAAAUAAUUUAAGAGAAUAUGUUAUUUAUAUAACAUGUGAGAUUUUUAAGGGGUUUGGAAAAAUUAUAGAUCAUACUAUUGUAUUUUACUCGUAUUGUAACAAUUUUUUUAUUUUUUUCAAACGAAAUUGGUCACCCCAAUUCUCUUUUUUUUGUAAAAAAAAACUCGAUCACCCUCUUUUAAAUAAAAAAGAGAGAAUAAAAAAUUGAUACAGUCAAAUCAAAUUGGCAAUUGAGAUUGAAAGCGGAAGUGUGAUGUAUGGUUUUUUGAGGAACCUUCGCCACCCAUAUAAAUAGGUAUUCAGAUUAUGCAUACCAAUGGACGUGAGGUUAACUUGGGAUCAACCGUUGAAUAGUCAACGACAAGGAUAGCCACUUCAAACUAAAUCUCUUGGCUUCAUUUACCUCUACAUUUAUCUCCUCCUCUCUUCUUCUUGUUAUUUCUAAAUUAGUAUUUCAUGAGCCAUCUAUUUUCACUACUUUGAUUUCAACUACCACAAAUAAUCUUAUCUUAAAUAGGACUCUUAAAUCAAUAUCAGAUCUAAUCAUAAAGCUUAAGUUAAUAUUCCAAUACUUCCUUUAAACUCGAGUUUUACAUAGAAAAAGAAAUACAAAUUACAAUACUGAGAGUUACAAUCCAUUAUAAAUUUAUUUAUCAUGCUUGUAAUAGAAGUAACAUAAGUUACAAAACAAGUAACCAAGAACAGUCUGUUCUGCUAGUUCGAUUUUAACAUAGAGAGAGAACAUAGUUUCUUUAUCUGCUUCAUCUUCCAGCUUUUACAUCAAAUCCCAAUUUGUUCUCUAAACUGUGGUACCCGACAGAAUCCAAGGUAGAGCUCAUAGAUGAUUCACCAAGCAAUGCUUCACAUUCCUCGGGUGCAUGGUGUGUUGAAGAGACCUGUAGGAACCCUCCUAACAUAUGCAGUUUCUCAGCCACUUCUCUCAUCGUAGGCCUUUCAUCCCCAUUCAUGUUCAAACAUUCCUUUGCAAGCUCGGCAAUUUCGUGGAUGACAUCCAUGUUUUCUUUUCCCAUGAUUUGAUCAUCCAAUAUCUCUUCAAGUCGGCUGUCUUUCAUUGCUUCGAUGAAGCUUGAAGCAAGAGCUUUUCCUUGAUUGCUCCCAUCAUAAUAAAUUGCCUUUUUCCUUGUGACGAGCUCCACCAAAACUACUCCAAAGCUAUAGACAUCACUCUUUGCUGUCAGUUGACGGACUAGCAAGUACUCUGGGUCCAAAUAACCAAGAGUUCCCUGGACCAUCGUUAUGAAUUGGGUUUCGUCUAUAGAUAUCAUCCUCGAUGCACCAAAAUCCGAUACCUUUGGCACGUAGUUAUGAUCUAGAAGUAUAUUGAGCGACUUCACAUCUCCAUGAACGAUCGGAGGGGAUGCUGAUGAAUGCAAGUAAGCGAGUGCUUCUGCAGAUUCUCUGGCUAUUCGUAGACGAGUAGUCAAGGGAAUUAGUUUCUCAUUAUUGUCAUGGAUGAAGUCGAAGAGGGUUCCAUUGGGUAUGAACUCAUAAACCAACAUGGGAAUUUCGACUUCCAAGCAACAACCCAAGAGCCUUACAAUAUUCUUGUGAUUGAUCUGAGAAAGAAUAAUCAUCUCCCGUACGAAUUCUUCACUUUGGUCCUCGGUGACUACCUUAGACCUCUUGAUGGCCACUUCCCUACCAUCGUCUAGGUAUCCUUUGUAAACGGUGCCAUGGCCUCCUCGCCCAAGUUCUCGACUCUUAUCGAAAUUAUCCGUUGCCUUCUCUAGAUCCUCUUUAGUGUAUAUUUUGACAGUGUCGAUUUUCUUUGAUCUGAUUUCUUCAUAUAACCUCAAGCCUCCAUUUUGCUGGAAGAAUUUAUCUUUUUCUCUAAGAAGCUUCCUUCUUUGAAACGCUAAGAUUAUGCAGAAGAUACAAGUAAUGAACGAGACAAUCCCAACACAACUGCCUGCACAAAGGGAUGAGUUUUCAAAAUAGAAGAUUGUUACCGACGAGGCCUAUUAACGAAAUUUAAAAGGAUAAGAAAUUUCAAGCUUUUUUUAAGAAGGAUGACUUAAUCGAAAUAAAAACUCAGAUUAUUUUUUUCUUCUGAUUGAAGUUUUAAGAGAAGGUUUAAAGCUAAUACGGAAGGAAGGAUGAGAACUUGUACCUAUAACAAUCUUCGUUGAUGUCGGAAUUCCUUGAUCUCGGACACAAGGUUCCGAUUUAGGGUCCUUGCUGCUGUGACCUUUUGGGCAUGUGCAGCUGUAGUUGCCUAAUGUGUUGCUGCACUUUCCAUAACAUGGAUACUGAUUUGGUAAGCUGCACUCGUCGAUAUCUAAGGAUUGUCAAAGAAUCACAAGGAUAAAUUGUAAGACCAUAUACAACAAUCGAAAACAGGAGAGUUGGGGGAGAGAUGCAUGCUGACCUUUGCAUCCAUCUGGGAGGUAAGGAUUGCCUUGGAAACCUGUGGAGCAAUUGCAGAUAUAGCCAGGUAGACUGGUGGAGUCGAUACAGUCACUGUUGCUGCAUGCAAAUGAAGAAAGGUUUCUCUUAGCCUCCUCGCAGGUCUGGUUGCCGGCUACCCAGUCCAGCACGAGUGGGACGCCGUCCUUGUACUUGUCUCUAAAGGUGUGGUUGCGAAGGUCAGACUUGUUGAAGUAGAACCAGUCCGUGUCGGCAAUGAAGGCAUAGGAGCAGGGGCUGUAGUCCGUGUAGGAAGAAAUAUCGAAGAAAGUGGCAAACGUGACCGUAAAAUUGUCCAGCUUCUCCGGGAUGGUGGUCUCGCAGCAGCCGGCGCCAUGGCACGAUCCGAUUGCGAUGCUUGCCUCUUCGAAGCAGCCGGAGACGCACCCGGCUCCCAAUGUAUAGUUGUCCCCGCCUAUGAGGAUGCCAAUGACGUCGCAGCCCAUGGUCGUUAACUCGUUCCUCGUGCCGGAUACGCUAAACGGAAGGCCACUGAGGUUGAUUGAAGAUCCUUGAUCAUCCACCACGUCGCCGGUACUGUUGAAACAAAGCCAGGCGAUGUCAUUCAGCACGCUUGCUUGGCCCUGGAGCAAGGAUAUGUUCUGAACUGUAAUGUUCCUCUCGCUGCCGCCCAAGAAAGCUCUGGGAAUCGCGUUAACGACUUCGCAAGUGACCUCGAAGCCGUCCCUGAAACACCCAUCGCCGAUGCCGAAGGGGUACGGGAUGCUAAUACCGCCGCAUGUCUCAUUGCAAUGUGGUGACACCACGUUCGGCGACGGUGGUGCCGAUGCUGCUGCAGUCGUUGCUGCUUGCAGCAACGUCAACAACAACAACAACAGCAGAAACGCGAACAGUGGCAGCGUGGAUCCCAUCGCUUAUGCUUGCUUGAAAUUAAUGGUACCCUUCAGGCUUCCAUCAGAUUUAUAAGCCCACAGAUGGGGGAAGCGAGCUUAAUUCCUUCCAAAAUCGAGUGGCAUAGAAUAAUUGCUUGAUCGAAUACUCGUUCUGCAGCCCAAGCGAAGACUCGUCAAGGCGAAGCCAGCACACGGCAAAUACAAAGAUCCUUUUACAUAAAUUCGAUAAGACAUGAAGCUCCAAUUACUUGGUGCCAAAAGGCAAAACGAAGACUUGCCAAGAGAGUCCGUCAACGGUUGAUUUAGUCACCGACAAGGAUAGAAGCCGGAUGGGUAUGGAAGAAAAUUACCAGCGUCGAUUGCAAAACGCAGUGUGUGAGAAGAAUCACUUGGCAGACGAGACAAAGAUUUUUGUGACUUCUGAUAGGUUGAUUAUAAUGUUUCUGUGAACCAAGUUUUCCUCCUAAAACGACACUUGAAAGCCAUCUCAUAAAACUAUUUAGGAGACUCGGAUCUGAAUAUUCUUUUGCUUUUAUAAUUUCUAGACCUAUAAUCUAUUAGAAAUGUACAGUAAUAACAUUUUAUGCGUUAUAUAUUUAUGUCUUUAAUAUUUUGCAAGAGGAUUAACAGAAAAGCAAAAGCUGCGGUAUUACUAAAACAUAUUUAGUCUUUGAAUUCAACCAAUUAAACUCUUAAUACACAGUAUUAUUAUUAUUAGCAAAAAUACAAAGAAAUAUAAAAUGAUGGUUUUUGAGCAUUUUUGUAACAGUACUUUCCUGCUAUCUUUUUUUCACGGGAGUCAACCUAAAAUUGAUUGCUGACUUUUCUACAUGAAAAGUCACAUCAGCAACAUUGAUUGCUGACUUUUCCUGCUUACUGCUCACUGACUGAUAUGGACGAGAGGUGGAAUAUUUAGCUACUCAAAGAUGGCGACAUGUUACUUGCACUGUGUUUUAAUAAUUAAGGCCAAUAAAGUUUUUGAUGAUUAUUAAUUAUACGAAAUCUUAUAUAUUAUAUUAAUAAUGUUUUUAAAGAAUUUUUUAUUACAUUAAAUGGUGUAUAAGAUGCUCACAUGAAUUCGAAUCGAGAUCCAUCGAUUGUGAAACAAUACAAUAACCAUUAAAAUGUCUCGAUAGAUAUAUUGUAUUAAGUAGUUAGUCAAAUGGUUGGUUAUAUUUAAAUUCGAUCAUUCGAUGAAAAUUACUUCAAAAGAUAAACAAAAAUAGAAGUAGAGGAAGUGAAUAUAGGCCUCGAAAGAUUAAAGAGAAAGAUAUUGAAUUUAUAUAGUUCUUAUCAUCAUCAUCAUCAUUACCAUCAUCUUACAUUCUAUAUUGUUAAUUUUAAAAUGAUUAAAAGUCAAGCAAGUCACCUUCUCAAAGUUUAUAAUCGAAAAAAAAAGAGAGCUAGAAGUAAUCAAGGAAUUUGAUGAGGUCAAAUUUGAUUAUUCUAUUGAACAAGGAAUCCAUAAAUAUAAAAAAUAAAAUAUUGAGUGAUAACUAAAAAAAAGUAUAUCCAAGAGUAGAAGAAGUUAAUGUGUUAUCUAGAGAUCUUUUAUAUACUUUAUUAUUAUGAAAAGUAAUCAUCAAAUUUGAUGAGACAUUGAUGAUGACCUAUCGAAAGAUCUUUUAUAUAUCUUAUUAGUACGAAAAGUAGUCAUCAAAUUUGUUGGAAUACUGAUGAUGACCUAUCAAAAGAUCUCCUACAUAUCUCGUUACCAUGAGAAGUAGUCAUCAAAUUUAUUGGAACAUUGAUGAUGACGUAUCGAAGGAUCUCUUAUAUAUCAAUCAAAUUUGUUAAGACACAAAAAAUGAUAUAUUUUCAAUGUGAGAGUUCAUAAGAAUAUAGUGUAUGAGUAGUGUAGCUAACUAUUUUUCAAAGCAAAAAAAAAUUAUUACGAUGAUAAUAUAUUUAUAAAAAAUAAAAUAAAAUUUUAUUAUAUUAAAUGACUCACAGGAUGCUACUUAAACCUGAGACUUAUUAUUGUACAAUAAUAAGUUAACGAAUCAGAUAUUUUAAUAGAGACUACACUACUCCACUCUAUAUUGGAGCCAUCCAUGUCCUCAUUAUUUAGCUUCGUGACACAUCAAUAAUUUUUUAUUUUUGGAAUUUAUUACGAAUUCUCAGCUGCUACAAAGCAUAGUGUUAGAAUCCAUAAUAUUCUUAAUUAUCCAGAAGCAAACAGAGAAUAAAUAAGUUUCAGGAGAAGCACCAACUUAAACAUUUUUUUUGAUCCUGCUAAUAUUGUCUUUUCAACAAAGGAAGUGAUGCCAUUUUACUUGAAAGUUCAUCGUCUUCCGACUUCUAUAUCAAAUCCUAUUUUAUUCUGUAAACUAUGGUAAUUUGUACUGUAUAAGUGGGAAACGUUGAUGAUUCACCAAGCAAUCUUUGGCACUCUUCAGGAACAUGUUGCGUGGAAGAUCGUCGUUGGAGCCCUCUUAGUGUAUAUGGAGCUUCUCGGCCAAUUCUCUCAUUGUGGGCUUUUCUCUCCCUCAACACUCAAACACUCCUUUGCAAGCUUGGCAAUUUCUUGAAGGAUAUCCAAGCUCUCCUUCCCUGUGAUUUGAUCAUCCAACAUCUCUUUUGAGCUUGUUAUCUUCGUUGCUUCAAUAAAGCUUGAUGCAAGGCAUUUUCUUUAACUAUUUCGAUCAUAAUAAAUUAAAUUAUCUUCUGACUAUUUCGAAAUGGUAGACAUCACACUUUAUUGUUAAUCAUCAUUAUGAACUGAGCUUCAUCAAUAGAUAAUAGUCUCGAUGCACCAAAAUAGAAAUUAUGAUCUACGUUGAAGGAUGGGAGGAGAAGUCAACGAGUGCAAGUAGGCAAGUGCUUCUGUAGAUUCUUCAGCUAUCCAUAGACAAGUAGCCAAAGAAAUUAAUUUCUGUCAUCCGCAUGGAUAAAGUUAAAAGAAUGUUUUAUUGGGGAUAAAAUCAUAAUUUAAUAUGGAAAUCUUCACCUUCAAGUCUUAUCAACUUCUUAUGAUUUAUGAUUGAUCCGACAAAGAAUGAUCAUCUCAGUUUUCUUGUCUUUGAAGUUUUGGUGUUCAGUUUAAUUUCCCAAGCAAAAUAGUAGAGGUAAUAUAUACAUAUAGUAAUACCAUCACCUCGAAUAUUGUAUAGUAAGUAGAUUUGUUGGAGAGUAAUUGUUGGAGUUGCUUUGUCACACUUAGAUUUUGGCAUGGAAAUUGACGAGGGAAGGUGUAACUCGUCGAUCAUACACACACGUCGGUGCUUCCCACACCGGUAAGGCCGCCCGAAAGAACAUCCACGCCGCCACACGGGUGAUGCCUUCCUUGGAAAGGCCUUACCAUAUUGAUACUAUCCACAUGCUGAAAGAAUAAGGUGCAAAUCCAAAAUAUAUGAUGUAGAAAUAAUUUAGUUUAUGUAUUAUUUGAAUUUUUUAUUAAUUUAGGGAUAAUUUGCAUAUCACAUAAGUUGUCAUGAGGUAGCAUUUAUUCAAGGCAAUGAAUAUAGAAAAAAAAGGGGAAGAAAUUAAAUUCAUUAUUGAUCGAAGAUUAUAAAUCUUGAUUAAAGAUUUUAAAAUUUUAUCUAUACAAAUAUAUUUUUUUAUUAAUCAAUAAUUGUAAUUAUCUCUAUAAAUUUAAAAUAUUGAAAGAUUUUUCUAAAAAAAAGGUCAAGAAUAUUAUUUUUUAAAGAAAAUAAAAAUAUUAUAUAUUUAAUUUAAUAUAAUUAUAAUUAUUUUUAUUUCUAUAUAUUUAUUUAUUUAUUCUGAGCCCUUAAAAAGAACUGGAACAUUAUAAUAGAUAACCAAAAAUUGAUCAAUAAAUUAUGUUCUUCGCAUGUGUCAAUGUAGGAAUCGUAUUUUUUUCUUAUGGAAUGAUUUCAUCGUCCACGUGAGAAACUUAUGAAAAUAUGGGAUCUUCAUCUUCAUAGUAUUUUUCAUUAGUUAGAAUCAUUUAUCUUUUGAUUAUUAUCAUUCUCAUCCUUUUAGUCCUUCAUCAUAAAAAAUAAAAAUAUUUACUACAAUUGAGCUACCGGUAGUAUGAAUUACUACCAUAAUCUUUUCUAUUACUAUAUAAACUUAAAGAAAAAAGAAUAAAUAUUACAAGAGAUCCUGCCUCCCAUGCUGUCUUCGACAAUAGAUUUGAGCCUCCUAGUGAUUCAGGGCCCUCAUUGUCGGGCGAGAUCCAGAUCCAAAACACCCUACCACCAUUGAGGAAUGAAAGCUUCUUCUACGAUUCCUAAAGAAUUUCGCCAAAAUAUGAGGCACUGUUGUGAUGCCUCCUACUAGGGUUUCGCCCUCGCCCUAAGAUGAUUGGGGUUGAAGACGGUAUUUGAAAUCUAUAGUUUUGUGCUUGCAUUGGCUACAUCAUCCUUGUUGCCACCGAAUUGCCAAGAGAUCUCCCUCUGAGUGAGAUCGAGAGGACAAAAGAACAUAAGUAUUAAAAGAACUAUAAAGAACUAGAACAACUAAACAAAUUAAUCAUAGAGAGAGAAAGCUUAUAAAAAAACACGAUUAGAGAAUAAAUAGUAUGAAUACACAAAACAAUAAUAAUUUAAUCAAGAUGCCUUUUUAUUUUUAUUUUGUGAGCUUUGUCAUAAAUUAAUUGUAGAACUAAAGAGAUUUAAACUCAAAACCUCGUCGAAAGUUUUUACCAGCUAAUAUAGUUAGCAUGGAAGGUGUGCGAUCUGAUAAGAUAAUUAGUCUCUUAAUUUAUUUAAAUUAAAAUUAAACUAAGAUAAUUAGCUCCUUCUUAGAUGUUGGAAGAAGUCUUCUUCUCUCCUUCCUUUUGAGAGAGAUUGAGAUACUAUGAGCAUCUUAUUAUCCAAGUCUGAAUUCAUUCUUACUGAAUUCAAAUAUACUAUGAGCAUCUUAUUAUCCAAGUCUGAAUUCAAAUAUAUACACUUAAUUUUUUUAUAAAAAUAGAAAACAAAUUUCAUGACAUGAAAUGAUGCAUAUAAUAUUCACACAUGGAUCCAAGUCAGAAACCUAUCACUUGUAGGAUAAUACACUAACCAAAUACGUGUAUUUGAGUUUAAAAUCUAUCACUUGUAUAUUAAUACACUAACCAACUUACAAAUCUCAACAAAGAUUAAAAGAAUUAAUUAUAUCACUUACUCUCAUAAGUAUGUAAAUAAUUUAAAAGAAGAUGUUAUUUAUAUAACAUGUGAAAUUUUUAAGGGACUCGGUAAAACUAUAUAUCAUACUCUUUUAUUUUAUUCUAUCACAUUUUUUUAAAUUUUUUUUGAAAGAAAUUGAUCAUCUCUCUUUUAAAUAAAAAGAAAGAAUAAAAAUUCGAUACAAUGAAAUCAAAUGGCCCAUAUAAAUAGGUCUUCAAAUUAUGCAUACCAAUGGACUUGAGGUUAACUUGGGAUCAACCGUUGAAUAGUCAACGACAAGGAUAGCCACUUCAAACUAAAUCUCUUAGCCUCUUUUACCUCUACCUAAUCUCCUCCUCCCUUCUUCUUGUUAUUUCUAAAUUAGUAUUUCAUUAGCCAUCUAUUUUCACUACUUUGAUUUCAACUACCACAAAUAAUCUUACCUUAAGUAGGACUCUUAAAUCAAUGUCUAAUCUAAUCAGAAAGCUUAAGUUAAUAUUCCAUUACUUCCUUCAAACUCGAGUUUUACAUAGAAAAAGAAAUAUAAAUUACAAUAUUGAGAGUUACAAUCCAUUAUACUUUUAUUUAUCAUGUCUGUGAUAGAAGUAACAUAAGUUACAAAACAAGCAACCAAGAACAGUCUAUUGUUCUACUAGUUCGAUUUGAACAUAGAGAGAGAACCUUGUUUCUUUAUCUUCUUCAUCUUCCAGCUUUUACAUCAAAUCCCAAUUUGUUCUCUAAACUAUGGUACCCGACAGAAUCCAAGGUAGAGCUCAUGGAUGAUUCACCAAGCAAUGCUUCACAUUCCUCGGGUGCAUGGUGUGUUGAAGAGACCCGUAGGAACCCUCCUAACAUAUGCAGUUUCUCAGCCACUUCUCUCAUUGUAGGCCUUUCAUCCCCCUUCAUGUUCAAACAUUCCUUUGCAAGCUCGGCAAUUUCGUGGAUGACAUCCAUGGUUUCUUUUCCAAUGAUUUGAUCAUCCAAUAUCUCUUCAAGUCGACUAUCUUUCAUUGCUUCAAUGAAGCUGAAGGCAAGAGCUUUUCCUUGACUACUCCCAUCAUAAUAAAUUGCCUUUUUCCUUGUGAUGAGCUCCACUAAAAUUACUCCAAAGCUAUAUACAUCACUCUUUGCUGUUAGUUGACGAACUAGAAAGUAUUCCGGGUCCAAAUAACCAAGAGUUCCUUGGACCAUCGUUAUGAAUUGGGUUUCGUCAAUAGACAUCAUCCUCGAUGCACCGAAAUCUGAUACCUUUGGCACAUAGUUAUGAUCUAAAAGUAUGUUGAGCGACUUCACAUCUCCAUGAACGAUCGGUGGGGAUGCCGAUGAAUGUAAGUAAGCAAGUGCUUCUGCAGAUUCUCUGGCUAUUCGUAGACGAGUGGUCAAGGGAAUUAGUUUCCCGUCGUUGUCAUGGAUGAACUCGAAGAGGGUUCCAUUGGGGAUGAACUCAUAAAUCAACAUGGGAAUUUCCACUUCCAAGCAACAACCCAAGAGCCGUACAAUGUUCUUGUGAUUGAUCUGAGAAAGAAUAAUCAUCUCCCGUAUAAAUUCUUCACUUUGGUCGUCGGUGACUACCUUAGACCUCUUGAUGGCCACUACCCUUCCAUCGGCUAUGUUUCCUUUAUAAACGGUGCCAUGGCCUCCUCGCCCAAUUUCUCGACUCUUAUCGAAAUUAUCUGUUGCUUUCUCUAUAUCCUCUUCGGUGUAUAUUUUGACAGUAUCAAUUUGCUUUGAUCUGAUUUCUUCGUAUAAUCUCAAGCCUCCAUUUUGCUGGAAAAAUUUAUCUUUUUCUCUAAGAAGCUUCCUUCUUUGAAACGCUAAGAUUAUGCAGAAGAUACAAGUAAUGAACAAGACAAGCCCAACACAACUGCCUGCACAAAGGGAUGAGUUUCAUGUCAAUUAUUUUGCAAACUCUUCCGGAGAUCGAAUAACGAGUUUCCAAAAUAUUGUUCGGACGAAGCCUAUUAAUGAAGAUUAAAAGGAUAAGAAAUUUCAAGCUUUUUUUAAGUAGGAUGACUUAAUCGAAAUAAAAACUCGAAUCUGAAUAGAUUAUUGUUUUUCUUCUGAUUGAAGUUUUAAGAGAAGGUUUAAGCUAAUACGGAAGGAAGGAUGAGAACUUGUACCUAUAACAAUCUUCGUUGAUGUCGGAAUUCCGUGAUCUCGGACACAUGGUUCCGAUUUAGGGUCCUUGCCGCUGUGACCUUUUGGGCAUGAGCAGCUGUAGUUGCCUGGGGUGUUGUUGCACUUUCCAUGACAUGUAUACAGAUUUGGCGAGCUGCACUCGUCGAUAUCUAAGGAUUGUCAAAGAAUCACAAGGGAAAAUUGUAAGACCACAUACAACAAUCGAAAACAGGAGAGUUGGGGGAGAGAUGCAUGCUGACCUUUGCAGCCAUCCUGGAGGUAAGGAUUGCCUUGGAAACCUGUGGAGCAAUUGCAGAUAUAGCCUUGUAAACUCGGGGACUUGAAACAUUCACUGUUGGUGCUGCGGCAUGCAUAUGAAGGGUUUCUCUUGGCCUCCUCGCAGGUCUGGUUGCCGGCUACCCAGUCCAGCACGAGUGGGACGCCGUCCUUGUGCUUGUCUUCAAAGGUGCGGUUGCCGAGGUCAGACUUGUCGAAGGAGAACCUUGCCUCGUCGGCAAUGAAGGCAUAGGUGCAGGGGCUGUAGUCCUUGUAGGAAGAAAUAUUGAUGAAAUAGGCCAACCCGGUCGUAAAAUUGUCCAGCUUCUCCGGGAUGUUGGUCUGGCAGCAGCCGGUGCCAGAGCACGAUCCGCUUGUGAUGUUUGCCCCUUCGAAGCAGAAGGAGGCGCACCCAGUUCCUGAUGUAUAGUUGUCCCCGCCUAAGAGGAUGCCAACGACGUUGCAGCCCAUGGUCGUGAACCUGUUCUUGGUGCUGGAUACCCAAAAUGGUUUGUCGCCAAGGUCUAGAGAAGGCCUUUGACCAGCCACCACGCCGUCGGUACUGUUGAAACAAUCCCAGCUAAUGUAAUUCAGGAUGCGUGCUUGGCCCUGGGGCAAGAAUAUCUCCUCCACUGUAAUGUUCCCCUCGCGACCGCCCAAGAAAGCUCUGGGAGUCGCAGAGCCGUUACCGACUUCGCAAGUGACCUCGAAGCCUUCCCUGAAACACCCAUCGCCGAUGCCGAAGGGGUACGGGAUGCUAACACCGCCGCAUGUAUCAUUGCAACCUGGUGACACCACGUUCGGCGACGGUGGUGCCGAUGCUGCUGCUGCCGUCGUUGUUGCUUGGAGCAGCGUCAACAACAACAGCUUAAACGCGAACGGUGGCAGCGUGAAUCCCAUCCCUUAUGCUUGCUUGAAAUUAAUUGUACCCUUAGGCUUCCAUCAGAUUUAUAAGCCCACAGAUGGCGAAGCGAGCAUAAUUCGUCGGUCAGCUGUUGUUGCUUAGAAUAAUUGCUUGAUCGAAUACUCGUUCUGCAGCCCAUGUGAAGACUUGUCAAGGCGAAGCCAGCACAUGGCAUAUACUAGAAAAUACAGUCGCUUGGAAAGCUGGAGAUUGACUGGUACAGGCCCCGUCCAAGUCUUCUUUAAGACUUGGACGGUACAGGAGGCCUACUCGCAGUUUGACUCUGGAAUCCACACCUACUCGAAGACUUGCUUGCUUGACUAUGCUUAAUCCAAGAGACAAAUAAUUAACGCCAAAUUUCCAGUAAAAGUCCCCUCUCUCUCUCUCUCUCUCUCUCUCUCUCUCUCUCUCUCUCUAUAGUUUUAUCCCUGCUUAAUGCUCGCUGAUUGGCAUGGUCGAGAGGUGGAAUAUUUGGCUACUGAAAGAUGGCGGCGACAUGCUAUUUGUAGUGUGUUUUAAUAAUUAAGGCCAAUAAAGUUGAUGAUUAUUAUUAAUUAUGUGAAAUCCUAUGUAUUAUAUUAUGAAUUUGUUUAAAAAGAUUAUUACAUUAAACGGAGUAUAAGAUGCUCACAUGAAUUCGAAUCAAGAUCCAUCAAUUGUGAAACCAUACAGUAACCAUUAGAAUGUCUCGAUAAAUAUAUUAUUAUAUUAAGUAGUUAGUCACAAAUUUGGUUAUAGUUUGGUUCAGUCGUCCAAUGGAAACUACUCCGAAAGCCAAACAAAGAAGAAGAAAGAGAAAGACAUUGACUUUAUGUAGUUCCUAUCAUCGUCAUCAUCAUCAUCUUAGCUUCUUAAUUGCCAUUUUUUAAAUGAUCAAAAGUCAAACAAGUCACCAUCUCAAAAUUUGUAGUCAGAGAGAAAGCAAGAGAGAAGUAACCAGGAAUUUGAUGAGGUCAAAUUUGAUUAUUCUAUUGAAUAAGGAAUUCAUAAAUAUAAAAAAAAAUAAGAAAUUGAGUGAUAACUAAAAGAAGUAAAUAUAAGCGUAGAAUAAAUAAAUAGGUUAUUUGAAGGAAUUCUUAUAUCUCUCGUUAUCAAAUUUGUCACGGCGAAGUAGCAAUCAAAUUUGUUACCGUGAGAAGUAGCAAUCAAAUUUGAAGGAUCUCUUAUAAUAUCUUGUUACCGUGAGAAGUAGCAAUCAAAUUUGAAGGAUCUCUUAUAAUAUCUUGUUACCGUGAGAAGUAGCAAUCAAAUUUGUUGAGACACAAAAAUUGAUAUAUUUUCAAUGUGAGAGUUCAGGAGAAUAUAGUGUAUGACUAGUGUAGCUAACUAUUUUUCAAAGCACUUAGUGUAGACAUUUGUAAAGGCUAGCACUUAGUGUAUGAGUAGUGUAGCUAACUAUCACCUUCUUAUGAUUUAUGAUUUAUGAUUGAUCCGACAAAGAAUGAUCAUCUCAGUUAUAACCUAUGUUUUCUUGUCUUUGACGUUUUGGUGUUCUGUUUAAUUUCCCAAGCAAAAUAGUAGAGGUAAUAUAUACAUAUAGUAAUACCAUCAUCGAUGACCUCGAAUAUUGUAUAGGAAGUAGAUUUGUUGGAGUUGCUACGUCACACUUAGAUUUUGGCAUGAAAAUUGACGAGAGAAAGUGUAACUCGUCAAUCAUACACACACGUCGGUGCUUCCCACACCGGUAAGGCCGCCCGAAAGAGCAUCCACGCCGCCACACGGGUGAUGCCUUCCUUGGAAAGGCCUUACCAUAUUGAUACUAAAAGAAUAAGGUGCAAAUCCAAAAUAUAUGAUGUAGAAAUAAUUUAGUUUAUGUAUUAUUUGAAUUUUUUUUUAUUAAUUUAGGGAUAAUUUGCAUAUCACAUAAGUUGUCAUGAGGUAGCAUUUAUUCAAGGCAAUGAAUAUAGAAAAAAAAAAUGGGAAGAAAUUAAAUUCAUUAUUGAUCGAAGAUUAUAAAUCUUGAUUAAAGAUUUUAAAUUUUUAUCUAUACAAAUAUAAUUUUUUUAUUAAUCAAUAAUUGUAAUUAUCUCUAUAAAUUUAAAAUAUUGAAAGAUUUUUCUAAAAAAAUGGUCAAGAAUAUUAUUUUUUAAAGAAAAUAAAUUAUUAUAUAUUUAAUUUAAUUUAAUUAAUUAAUUAAUUUAUUUAUUUAUUUCGAGCCCUUAAAAAGGACUAGAACAUUAUAAUAGAUAACCAGAAAUUGAUCAAUAAAUUAUGUUCUUCGCAUGUGUUAAUGUACGAGAUCAUAUUUGAUUUUCUUAUGGAAUGAUUUUAUCGUCCACAUGAGAAACUUGUGAAAAUAUAGGAUCUUCAUCUUCAUAGUGUUUUUCAUUAGUUAGAACCAUUUAUCUUUUGAUUAUUAUCAUUCUCAUCCUUUUAGUCAUUCAUCAUAAAAAUAUAUAUAUUUACUACAAUUGAGCUACUGACGGUAUGAAUUACUAUCAUAAUAUUUUCUAUUACUAUAUAAACUUAAAGAAAAAAGAACAAAUGUUACAAGAGAUCCUGUCUCCCGUGCUGUCUUUGACUAUAGAUUUGAACCUCCUAGCGUUUUAGGGCCCUCAUUGUCGGGCAAGAUCCGGAUUCAAGCGACCUUGCCACCGUUGAGGAAUGAAAGCUUCUUCUACGAUUCCUAAAGAAUUUUGCCAAAAUAUGAGGCACUGUUGUGAUGCCUCCUACUAGGGUUUUGCCUUCACCCUAAGACGAUUAGGGUUGAAGACGGUAUGUGAAAUAAAUGGCUUUGCGCUUGCAUUAGCUACAUCAUCCUUGUUGCCACCGAAUCACCGAGAGAUCUCCCUUCGAGUGAGAGUGAGAGGGCAAAAGAACAUAAAUAUUAAAAGAACUAUAAAGAACUAGAACAACUAAAUAAAUUAAUCAUAGAGAGAGAGCUUAUAAAAAAACACGAUUAGAGAAUGAAUAGUAUGAAUACACAAAAUAAUAAUAAUUUAAUCAAGAUACCUUUUCAUUUUUAAUUUUGUCAGCUUUGACAUAAAUUAGUUGUAGAAUUAAAGAGAUCCAAGGAAUAUUUUUGUAAGGAUAAGUGACGAAAUGACAUUUAAACUCAUAACCUCAUUGAAAGUUUUUACUAGCUAAUAUAGUUAGCAUGGAAGGAGUGCCACCUGAUAAGAUAAUUAGUCUCUUAAUUUAUUUAAAUUAAAAUUAAACUAAGAUAAUUAGUCCCUUCCUAAUGUUGGAAGAUGUCUUCUUCUCUUCUUUUCGAGAGAGAUUGAGAUACUACGAGCAUCUUGUUAUCCCUUUUAAGUCUGAAUUCAAAUAUAAAUUGAAUCUCAAUUUGAUUGAAAAUUUUAAUCAAACAAUAUUUGAUUCAAAUUAAAAAAGGAGAUAAAAAUUUUUAAAGGCGUGAAUAAUGAUUCUCUAUCCUUCAUGCAUGUUUGAUAAAAAGAUCAUCCGAGAUAUAGGAAAGUCGACGAGGAAUAAACUUAUUCAAGACAACAAAAAAUAGGAAGGCAAUAGUACUGAGAGUCUCGAUCCACAUGUGCGCCAAUGAUGUAUUGUUAUUAACACCAAAGCUCUUAACAAAUAAAUAUAAAAUUAAGUAGAUAAAAUCCUAUAAAAAAAAUAAGUAAAAAUAAAAAAGAUAAAAUUUUAUUUUUUAAAAUAUUUAGAUAAUAGCUUUACUCAAAUUUUACAUACCCAACCUCAACCAGUUUGUCACCUCUUUAUUGACUUCCUCAAACACUUUCUUUUAAAGUAUAACAAGUUAGUUUUUUUUCGUUUUUGUCGAACUAUAAUAGUUAUUACGUCUGCAAUUUCGGAUCUACUGUUCUUUCCCUAUUUUAUAAGAUCAUCACUUAUUCCAAUGAGUAUAUCAUUAGAUUCAGUCAUUUUGAUAUAAACUCUAAUUAUUUAACUGAUGGUUAUGCUAACCUUUGUAGGUUGCUUGGCUCUCCUCACACUUGGAAAUGCUUGGAAGCCAAUGCCCCCUUUUCCAGCACAUAUUGAUUCAUUAUAUAUAUAUAUAUAUAUAUAUAUAUAUAUAUAUAUAUAUAUAUAUAUAUAUAUAUAUACUUAAAAUUUUUAUAAAAAUUGAAAGCAAAUUUCAUGACAUGAAAUGAUGUAUAUAAUAUUCACACAUGGAUCUAAGUCUGAAACCUAUCAAUACACUGACCAAUAUUACCCAUAUGGAUUUAAGUUUAAAAUCUAUUACUUGUAUAAUAAUGCACUAACCAACUCGCAAAUCUCAAUAAAGAUUAAAAGAAUUAAUUAGAUCGCUGGCUCUCGUAAGUAUGUAAAUAAUUUAAAAGAAUAUGUUAUUUAUAUAACAUGUGAAAUUUUUAUGGGACUCGAUAAAACUAUAGAUCAUACUUUUUUAUUUUAUUCUAUCAUUUUUUUAAUUUUUUUCUGAAAGAAAUUGGUCAUCCAUCUUUUUAAAUAAAAAGAAAGAAUAAGAAACUUGAUCCAAUCAAAUCAAAUGGGCAAUUGAGAUUGAAAGCACAAGCGAGAUGUAUGGUUUUUUUUAGGACCUUCGCUACCAUAUAAAUAUUACAAAAUUAUUAUUAUAGUAAAAUAAUUUUUUUUCUCUUUGUAUAUUAAAAUAAGUUUUUCAUCAAAAUAUUAACCAUAAAAGUAUAAACAGUAGAAUAAUAAAUCAAUCACAAAAUGAGAUACUGAAUAUAAUAAAUUUAAAAUAAAUCUUCUUCAAAAUUUUUAGAAUAUUAUAAUAACAUCAAGAACACAUAUCUCAGCUCAAUAUUAACAUAUCAUCAUCACCAUAGAUGGAUUUAAUGAAAAAAAAAAAUUUAGAUUUCACAAAGCGGAUAUAAUAGGAAAGUAUUUUAGAGAGAAUAAACUAUAUAUCGGUAUCAUUAAGAUUAUAAAGCUUAUUGUAAAAAUUCUUCACCUAAAAUUUAGGUCAAAAUGAACGAAGUUUAGUCGUUCCAUCGAGCAAAAGCUUCCAAACCUUAACUUUCGUACUCUUUUUCUUUGUUCUUUCUUUUCUGUGUCCCUGCAGUUUCACCACAUGCACUUAUUCACACACCACUAUCUUCCUACGUCUCCGCUUUUUUUUUUUUUUUUUAAUACAUCAGACUUGGGCUCAAUGCCCAAAUCAAUCGGGCCAAGCCUACCCAUGGGCUGUACCUAAUAGGUCUUUAAAUUAUGCAUACCAAUGGACGAGACGUUGACUUGGGAUCAACUGUUGAAUAGUCAACGAUAAGGAUAGCAACUACAACUAAUGUGAAUUUGGAACGAAAUAUAGCAGCUCGUGGAGGGCAUUUUCUUUUUUCCGGUUUAGAUUUGUGAUUUUUCUUUUUGCCAUAAGGAAUCAUUUUGGAUAUGCAUGGGAUGUAUGUAAGCUUCUUGUUGUUUUAGUCUUGCGCAUACACAUGCCUUUGAAUUAUUUGGCAGAGAGACUUAGGUUGACUUGUAUCUAAUUUUUGUUAAAUAUCAAAACUUGUAAUUUAACGAACCCUAAAUCUCUUAAGCCUCUUUUACCUCUACCUUAUCUCCUCCUCCCUUCUUCUUCUUCUUAUUUCUAAAUUAGUAUUUCAUUAGCCAUCUAUUUCCACUACUUUGAUUUCAACUACCAGUUUUACAUAGAAAAAGAAAUAUAAAUUACAAUAAUGAGAGUUACAAUUCAUUAUACAUUUAUUUAUCAUUCCUGUAAUAGAAGUAACAUAAGUUACAAAACAAGCAACCAAUAAUAUUCUGUUCUGCUAAUUCGAUUUUUACAUAGAAAGAGAACCUAGUUUCUUUAUCUUCUUCAUCUUCCCGCUUUUACAUCAAAUCCCAAUUUGUUCUCUGAACUGUGGUACCCGACAGAAUCCAAGGUACAGCUCAUAGAUGAUUCACCAAGCAAUGCUUCACGUUCCUCGGGUGCAUGGUACGUUGAAGAGACCUGUAGGAACCCUCCUAAUAUAUGCAGUUUCUCAGUCACUUCUCUCAUUGUAGGCCUUUCAUCCCCGUUCAUGUUCAAACAUUCCUUUGCAAGCUCGGCAAUUUCAUGGAUGACAUCCAUGUUUUCUUUUCCCAUGAUUUGAUCAUCCAAUAUCUCUUCAAGUCGGCUAUCUUUCAUUGCUUCGAUGAAGCUUGAGGCAAGAGCUUUUCCUUGACUACUCCCAUCAUAAUAAAUUGCCUUUUUUCUUGUGAUGAGUUCCACUAUAACUACUCCAAAGCUAUAGACAUCACUCUUUGCUGUCAGUUGACGGACUAGCAAGUACUCUGGGUCCAAAUAACCAAGAGUUCCCUGAACCAUCGUUAUGAAUUGGGUUUCAUCCAAAGACACCAUCCUCGAUGCACCAAAAUCCGAUACCUUUGACACAUAAUUAUGAUCUAGAAGUAUGUUGAGUGACUUCACAUCUCCAUGAACGAUCGGAGGGGAUGCCGAUGAAUGCAAGUAAGUGAGUGCUUCAGCAGAUUCUCUAGCUAUUCGUAGACGAGUAGUCAAGGGAAUUAGUGUCCCGUCGUUACCAUGGAUGAAGUCGAAGAGGGUUCCAUUGGGGAUGAACUCAUAAACCAACAUGGGAAUUUCUACUUCCAAGCAACAACCCAAGAGCCUUACAAUGUUCUUGUGAUUGAUCUGAGAAAGAAUAAUCAUCUCCCGUACGAAUUCUUCACUUUGGUCCUUGGUGACUAUCUUAGACCUCUUGAUGGCCACUUCCCUGCCACCGUCUAUGUUUCCUUUAUAAACAGUGCCAUGGCCUCCUUGGCCAAGUUCUCGACUCUUAUUGAAAUUAUCUGUUGCCUUCUCUAGAUCCUCUUUGGUGUAUAUUUUGACAGUAUCAAUUUGCUUUGAUCUGAUUUCUUCGUAUAACCUUAAGCCUCCAUUUUGCUGGAAGAAUUUAUCUUUUUCUUUGAGAAGCUUCCUUCUUUGAAAUGCUAAGAUUAUGCAGAAGAUGCAAGUGAUGAACGAGACAAACCCAACACAAAUGCCUGCACAAAGGGAUCAGUUUCAUGUCAAUUAUUUUACAAACUCUUCCGGAGAUCGAAUUACGAGUUUUCAAAAUAGAAGAUUGUUACCGACUAUUAAUGAAGAUUAAAAGGAUAAAAAAAAUUCAAGCUUUGUUUAAGUAGAACGGCUUAUUCGAAAUAAAAACUUGAAUCCGAAUACAUUAUUUUUCCUAUUGAUUGAAGUUUUAAGAGAAGGUUUAAACUAAUACGGAAGGAAGGAAGGAUGAGAACUUGUACCUAUAACAAUCUUCGUUGAUGUCGGAAUUCCGUGAUCUCGGACACAUGGUUCCGAUUUAGGGUCCUUGCUGCUUUGACCUUUUGGGCAUGAGCAGCUGUAGUUGCCUGCUGUGUUGCUGCACGUUCCAUGACAUGUAUAGAGAUUUGGCGAGCUGCACUCGUCGAUAUCUAAGGAUUGUCAAAGAAUCACGAGGGAAAAUUGUAAGACCACAUACAACAAUCGAAAAUAGGAGAGUUGGGGGAGAGAUGCAUGCUGACCUUUGCAGCCAUCCUGGAGGUAAGGAUUGCCUUGGAAACCUGUGGAGCAAUUGCAGAUAUAGCCAGGUGGACUGGUGGAGUCGAUACAGUCACUGUUGCCGCAUGCAUAUGAAGAAAGGUUUCUCUUAGCCUCCUCGCAGAUCUGGUUGCCGGCUACCCAGUCCAGCACGAGUGGGACGCCGUCCUUGUACUUGUCUCCAAAGGUGUGGUUGCCGAGGUCAGACUUGUUGAAGGAGAACCAGUCCUGCUCGGCAAUGAAGGCAUAGGUGCAGGGGCUGUAGUCCUUGU
rnacentral:lncRNA from 1 species